CAUCGACCCAUAAAUGCGCUGCUCUUCUUAGUUUUCACUCUGAAGACAUUCCCCUCCUCAACACCCCCCCCCCUCCGCCCCACACGCACUCCGUUGUCCUCUCUCUCUCUUGCCUGCACAGAGUCCUCUCCGGGUAAAAAAAAAACAGAAAAAAAACACCAGCAGCAAGCGCGGCGUCUUCACGCAGAUGCCAUCGACGCCGCUGGACAGUGCACAGCCCGCCGAUAGCUGUGGUGAGCCGACGCAAACGCUCACUAGUGCGAAGCAGACGCACUCUCUGGACCGAUUUUCACCUGUGCACGACACGCCGUGCGAGCACGUCCAGCCCAACACCGUGGCGCGCGUGAGCGACGAGCUGCUCGAAAUGCUUGCCGAGGACCGUCGCAUCAAUCUCAAGCACCACUUGGUAGUGGAUAAGUUGUUCAAGGCGUACCUGCUAGAAAAGAAGAACUUCGCCAACGUGAUGCGAACCUAAAGGGGAGAUGUGCGUCCAUCGCGCAUGCGAUGAAAGUAGGCGGAUGGAGUGGUGACGUGGCAGGGGAAGAGGGCCGGUCGCGAUACCAUCUGCUGCUGACCCUCCCCUCGCUCUCGCGCGAACUCGUUUGCACCGGUGCACUGCCUUCUUGAAGGUUCUUGGUACCCUUUCCCGUGCUCAUGUAUCUCGCCGAUUCUUACUGUCGUUAGUAUCUUCGUGCGGAAGUGAGCGCACAUGUUUUCAUCAUCUGCAGUCUAACGCUCCCUUUCGUGACCUUCUUUUCCGCGGCGAACGGCUUCCCUCUUCUCCGGGCCCGCUCGAUGGUGGUGAAAGGGCGUCUUUUACAUGGGAGUGCCGACGGUCAACUCUCCUGCUUACCUCCGCACCUCCUCCGCUCUCCGUCCUGCGCCAGCAAGUGGGCGUGCACCGGUCCCUGCGGAGGUUUUUCCUUUAUUGGUUUCCUUUUCGCGCGCGUGUGUGUGUGGAUCCUUUUCGCUCGCCUUCCGCGGGGCUCAUACGCGUGCGGCAAGAUCCGAGGGUGCGAGGGACGGACGACGGAGGCGCUUUUCUUACAUUCCCUUGCCCACUGCGAGCGAUAACUGCACUUCGAUCGUCAGUGCGCCUUCUGGGUCCCUCCUCACUCGUCGCUGCCGCUAUCCGUGCCCUCACAGUAAGUCCCGCGACACCCCACCCCUUCAUGUAUCCACCCGGUGAGACAGGAAAGUGGAAGGAAAGGUGUUUCCUCACUCCCGUCCUGUGCACAAGCGCAAGCACAUGCGGGUAUGUCUGCUCUUGUAUGGAGAACGCACUCUGCUCCGACCGGUGUGGCCCUCUCGGUGCAAGCGGCACGACCGCGCACAGACCACCCCGGAAGUCGGGUCGAUGGAGACGAGUAUGCCGACUCGCUCAAUGGCCCCAGUUUAAAGCGUUCUCUCCCCCCUCUCUCACGGUGGCGAAGGAAAGGGAGGACUCAUCUAGUGACAUGAGUGCCAGCGCGCCGCUGGUGCGCUCGCAGCUCCACCCUCCGUCUUCCUUAUUUCCCAGAGCGCAUCCGACGCCUGUCCUUCCGAUUCUUCUUCUCCAUCUGAAUUUCCCGUCUUUGCCUGGACGCGUGUUCGCUUAUUGUGAGUCGGUGCCACCACACUCGUCGUUUGGCCGCCACGGCUGCCGCCACGCCACCUCCUGUCGUUCACCUCCGCUAACUACGCCGUUGGCCGUCGAACCUCUUUUCCUGCGUGAAUGUGUACCCCCUGCUUCUCUAUGUCCCUGCGUAUAUGCAUAUAUGUAUAUAUUUAUAGGCUUGGAUACAUGCAUAUAUAUAUAUAUAUAUAUCGGUGUGUGCAUGUCGGUGCACAUAUAAACG
rnacentral:misc_RNA from 1 species